rnacentral:rRNA from 1 species
GACGAACGCUGGCGGCGCGCCUAACACAUGCAAGUCGAACGGAGCUGAGAGAAGCUUGCUUUUCUUAGCUUAGUGGCGAACGGGUGAGUAACGCGUGAGUAACCUGCCCUGGAGUGGGGGACAACAGUUGGAAACGACUGCUAAUACCGCAUAAGCCCACGAUCCGGCAUCGGAUUGAGGGAAAAGGAUUUAUUCGCUUCAGGAUGGACUCGCGUCCAAUUAGCUAGUUGGUGAGGUAACGGCCCACCAAGGCGACGAUUGGUAGCCGGACUGAGAGGUUGAACGGCCACAUUGGGACUGAGACACGGCCCAGACUCCUACGGGAGGCAGCAGUGGGGGAUAUUGCACAAUGGGGGAAACCCUGAUGCAGCGACGCCGCGUGGAGGAAAAAGGUUUUCGGAUUGUAAACUCCUGUCGUUAGGGACGAUAAUGACGGUACCUAACAAGAAAGCACCGGCUAACUACGUG